GAUGAACGCUAGCGGCAGGCUUAAUACAUGCAAGUCGAACGGUAACAGGAAUCUUCGGAUUUGCUGACGAGUGGCGCACGGGUGCGUAACGCGUAUGCAACCUACCUACAACAGGAGAAUAGCCCGUGGAAACGCGGAUUAAUACUCCAUAAUACUAUAAGAUUGCAUAGUCUAAUAGUUAAAGAUUUAUCGGUUGUAGAUGGGCAUGCGUCCCAUUAGCUAGAUGGCGAGGUAACGGCUCACCAUGGCAACGAUGGGUAGGGGUUCUGAGAGGAAGGUCCCCCACACUGGCACUGAGACACGGGCCAGACUCCUACGGGAGGCAGCAGUAGGGAAUAUUGGUCAAUGGGCGGAAGCCUGAACCAGCCAUGCCGCGUGUAUGAAGAAGGCCCUCGGGUCGUAAAGUACUUUUAUACAGGAAGAAAGUUGUCAUGCGUGAUGAUUUGACGGUACUGUAAGAAUAAGCACCGGCUAACUCCG
rnacentral:rRNA from 1 species